GACGAACGCUGGCGGCGUGCUUAACACAUGCAAGUCGAACGAAGAGCGAUGGAAGCUUGCUUCUAUCAAUCUUAGUGGCGAACGGGUGAGUAACGCGUAAUCAACCUGCCCUUCAGAGGGGGACAACAGUUGGAAACGACUGCUAAUACCGCAUACGAUCUAAUCUCGGCAUCGAGGAUAGAUGAAAGGUGGCCUCUACAUGUAAGCUAUCACUGAAGGAGGGGAUUGCGUCUGAUUAGCUAGUUGGAGGGGUAACGGCCCACCAAGGCGAUGAUCAGUAGCCGGUCUGAUAGGAUGAACGGCCACAUUGCGACUGAGGCACGGCCCAGACUACUACGGGAGGCAGCAGUGGGGAAGCUUCCGCAAUGGACGAAAGUCUGACGGAGCAACGCCGCGUGAGUGAUGACGGCCUUCGGGUUGUAAAGAUCUGUUAGUCGGGACGAAAGGCCUUCUUGCGAAUAGUGAGAAGGAUUGACGGUACCGGAAUAGAAAGCCACGGCUAACUACGUG
rnacentral:rRNA from 1 species